rnacentral:misc_RNA from 1 species
GAUGAAGAACGCAGCGAAAUGCGAUAAGUAAUGUGAAUUGCAGAAUUCAGUGAAUCAUCGAAUCUUUGAACGCACAUUGCGCCCGCCAGUAUUCUGGCGGGCAUGCCUGUUCGAGCGUCAUUUCAACCAUCAAGCCCCAGGCUUGUGUUGGGGACCUGCGGCUGCCGCAGGCCCUGAAAACCAGUGGCGGGCUCGCUGUCACACCGGGCGUAGUAGAUUUUAUCUCGCUCAGGGCGUGCUGCGGGUCCCGGCCGUUAAAAAGCCUUUUUUACCCAAGGUUGACCUCGGAUCAGGUAGGAAGACCCGCUGAACUUAAGCAUAUCAAUAAGCGGAGGA